UGGGAGUGAGAACUAUUUGGGGCUAAAGGAGCCCCGGGGCGCUGCGACGGCGGAGUUAAGGCGGUACAGGAAGGGAGGGGAAGGGAGGAGGAAGGGAGGCUCCCGGCGUGGGCAAGGCGUGGACAGAGGAGGGAAUGCGGGGACGAGAGCGGCCCGGGAGGGCGGCUUUCUUGAUGGGCUGUCCGGUCGCAGCUCUUGAAGUGUCGGCGUGUGUUCGGGCUCUCGUCUUCCGUCCCGACACCCGCCCCGACACCCCCCUCGCGCUCCCUCUACAUCCCUCUCCUCUUGCCUUUAUGCGGAAGCGAAUGCGAACCGAAAGGCGGCGACGACAAUGACGCAAGUGAAACGAUACAACGCGGACCCCCGCGACAGAUGUGGCGCUGCAGUGUCCGCACAAAUGCGGAGGGGUCCGUCAAAGCCGGGGGGGGGGCCAUUGGGGUGCCGUUGGUGAAAUUGACGUUAGGGACUUCAGGGAGAAUGCACAUGUGGUGACAGGGCCUCCUGUGUGAAGACAUGGACAGCCGUGUUGCUAUGUCCGCCUGAUGGUGCUGUGCGCCGCGGUUUUCCUUUCCUCCCGCCCACACAUGGGAAAGCAACGCUGACUGUCCUGUGCAUAUCAGGAUAGUAUUUAACGCGGUGAGGAGAGCUGGUAAAGGGAAGGCGUUACAAACAAAGCGCAGUAAGGCCACGAUUUCUCAUAUGUGUUAAGUGGUGGCGCGCUAAGGGCGUUUUAUUGGAACCAAGGCCCGUGGCUCCUCAAAAGGGAAGCAACAGCACUCACUCUUUCUACUUGCAAGUACCCCCGCUGUGACUGUGGCCGCCGGCAGUUGUGUAACGGUUAGUCACGCUUAAUCUCAUUCCUGUUUUGCGGACGGUAUGGCAACGGUGCGGAAAAAAAGAUGUAGCAUUUAGUAGUGUGAACGGCGACAUUACAGCGCACUGCGUACAUAACACAACAGGUGUAUGUACGCAUACAUCGCGGCUGCAUUUUCAUUUUUUUAUCUCUGUUCAUUUUUCUUACGCUGAAACGCAGCACCAUAAAAGGUGCACACUUGCACCAGCAUGUUUAUGUACGUGUGCGACCAUUGUUUGUCGGGCUGUUCGCCUGUCGCAGGGCCCCUUCUGGUUGGAGCAGUCGGGGACCGGGUUGUGGGUGCAUGGGUGUGCCUAUUUGUUCUUGCUCCGUGUUUUUGGCCGUGUGCGUUACAGGCAUCAACAUUAUCGGUCCUGAAUCUUCCCGUAAUUCUCGGCUGUUAGGACCCAGCCGCGUCAUUGUUGUUGAGCCCGUACAUAAUGACUUGUGGCAUUGCGAUAGAUGGCCAGCUAGUUGCGAGUUGUCUAUCCAGAUAGAUUUCCGCCAUCAAUAAGCCCUUGACUUGCUGUGCGGCCAAAAGGACUGAGUGCAUAAGCACCAUAAAUCCCGACUUUAUAAUUUGUAAGCGGGACACAAAACAGCGAUGUAGCGGAAGCGAUGUCUGUGUGUUUUUCGUGGUUUGGGAUGGAUUUUUUGUAUCUACGGAUCUGAGAGGACCUUCCCCGCGUUUUGUAAGGUGUACCUUUGGCUUGUCAAGGACGUCAAACCUGUUGACUUAAGUCGAAGCCUCUGCCGCUUUACUCAGGCUCUCUACCUUAGU
rnacentral:lncRNA from 1 species